rnacentral:rRNA from 1 species
GUGGGGAAUCUUCCGCAAUGGACGAAAGUCUGACGGAGCAACGCCGCGUGAGUGAAGAAGGUUUUCGGAUCGUAAAGCUCUUUCGUUAGGGACGAACGUGCUCUUUGUGAAUAAUGAGGAGUAAUGACGGUACCUAAAUAAGAAGCCACGGCUAACUACGUGCCAGCAGCCGCGGUAAUACGUAGGUGGCAAGCGUUGUCCGGAAUUAUUGGGCGUAAAGCGCGCGCAGGCGGGAUAUCAAGUCUGUCUUAAAAGUGGGAGGCUCAACCUCGUGAGGGGACAGAAACUGGUAUUCUUGAGUGUCGGAGAGGAAAGUGGAAUUCCAAGUGUAGCGGUGAAAUGCGUAGAGAUUUGGAAGAACACCAGUGGCGAAGGCGACUUUCUGGACGAUGUCUGACGCUGAGGCGCGAAAGCUAGGGGAGCGAACGGGAUUAGAUACCCGGGUAGUCC